AUGGAGAGCACGGGCCAUGGCGGCGGCGGCGAGGGCGCUAGCGUCCUCCUCCUGCCGUUCCCAGGGGCGCAGGGCCACACGAACCCGCUGCUGGAGCUGGGCCGCCGCCUGGCGCACCACGGCCUCCGCCCCACGCUCGUCACCAGCCGCCACGUGCUCUCCUCCACCCCGCCGCCCGGCGCGCCCUUCCGCGUGGCCGCCAUCUCCGACGGCUUCGACGCCGGCGGCGCGGCCUCGGACUACACGGACUACUUCUCGCGGCUGGAGGCCGUGGGGUCCGAGACGCUGCGGGAGCUCCUUCUGUCGGAGGCGCGCGCCGGGCGGCCCGUGCGCGUGCUGGUGCACGACUCCCACCUGCCGUGGGCGGGGCGGGUGGCGCGCGCGGCCGGCGUUCCCGCCGCGGCGUUCUUCUCGCAGCCGUGCUCCGUGAACGUCGUCUACGGGGAGCUCUGGGCGGGGCGGUUGGCCCUUCCGGUGACGGAUGGGCUCGAGCUGUUCGCGAGGGGAGCGCUGGGCGUGGAGCUGGGUCCGGAGGACGUGCCGCCGUUCGCCGCAGCGCCGGAGUCGCAGCCUUUGUUCCAUAAGACGGCUAUCGGGCAGUUCGACGGGCUGGAGGACGCCGACGACGUGCUCGUCAACUCAUUCAACGCCAUCGAGCCAAAGGAGGGAGAGUUCAUGGAGUUAACAUGGAGAGCGAAGACCGUAGGCCCCACAUUGCCAUCGUUUUACCUCAACGACGAUCGUUUGCCCUCCAACAAGUCUUAUGGUUUCAACCUAUUUGGCAGCGAUGCACCGUGCAUGGAUUGGCUAGAAAAACAGAGCAUCUCCUCUGUUGUGCUCGUAUCCUACGGGACUUUCUCCAACUACGACGCGGCCCAGCUAGAGGAGCUUGGCAAUGGGAUAUGUAAUUCUGGCAAAUCUUUUAUAUGGGUUGUUAGGUCCAACGAGGCACACAAGCUAUCCGAGGAACUCAGAAAGAAAUGUGAGAAGAAUGGAUUGAUUGUUUCUUGGUGCCCCCAACUUGAGGUUCUAGCUCACAAGGCCAUCGGAUGUUUUGUUACUCAUUGUGGCUGGAACUCGACGCUGGAGGCGGUUGUUUGUGGUGUACCUCUUGUGGGAAUUCCGCACUGGGCGGAUCAACCCACCAUCGCAAAGUAUGUAGAGAGCGCAUGGGGUAUGGGUGUGCGAGUGCGGAAGAGCGAAAGUGGAUCACUAAGGAGUGCGGAGGUCGAGAGGUGUAUUAGAGAGGUCAUGGAUGGGGAGAGGAAGGACGACUACAAAAGGAAUGCAAUGAAGUGGAUGCAAAAGGCCAAGGAGGCAAUGCAAGAAGGGGGAAGCUCAGACAAGCAUAUUGUUGAAUUCGCUGCCAAGUAUUGUCAAUUUGAAUUUACAACAAUGUAA
rnacentral:rRNA from 1 species